GUUAAUUGCCAAGUCUCAGAACCAGCGGUGUCUCUGUGACAUCCCAAAUAGAAGACAUUUGACCCAUUUGUGCAAACCUCUAUUACAGGACCAAAUCCCUUUGAAGCACAUUAGAGAAGACUUUCACAUCUAAACCUCUGCCACCACAUUGGAGGAAAGCACUGAACCCAGCUGUCUGUAUCCUCUGGCACAGAAAUGUCAGAUUCCUUCAGAGCAAUGCAGGGAGUUUUCCUGGAAGUUGUUUUCAUUCACACUUGAAGACACCAGGAGGCCAAUGUUAUCCAGGAGAGGAUCUGGAGAGUGCUCAAGCAAAUUCAAAGGCUCAUCAAGGGCCCUACAUUCAGCUGGACCCCCUCAAGCCAGGGACAGAGUUCUGCUUUGGGGAGAUGACGGUGAGAUGGAUGGCUGAAGGAGCGGAGCAGGACAAACCUGCCACCUUCAUAUCUCUGUGUGAAGCCCCAUUACACCAUAGUGCUGUUCAUUCUGAGGCUUAAAACAGCAGGAGUGCACCACUCUUCCAAACACUGUGUUCUUACAGCGAGACACAACGAGAAGCAGCAUGGAAAUUCCUACUGCCUUUAUG
rnacentral:lncRNA from 1 species